rnacentral:rRNA from 1 species
GGGGAAUAUUGCACAAUGGGCGCAAGCCUGAUGCAGCGACGCCGCGUGAGGGAUGACGGCCUUCGGGUUGUAAACCUCUUUCAGUAGGGACGAAGCGCAAGUGACGGUACCUAUAGAAGAAGGACCGGCCAACUACGUGCCAGCAGCCGCGGUAAUACGUAGGGUCCGAGCGUUGUCCGGAAUUACUGGGCGUAAAGAGCUCGUAGGUGGUUUGUCGCGUUGUUCGUGAAAACUCACAGCUCAACUGUGGGCGUGCGGGCGAUACGGGCAGACUAGAGUACUGCAGGGGAGACUGGAAUUCCUGGUGUAGCGGUGGAAUGCGCAGAUAUCAGGAGGAACACCGGUGGCGAAGGCGGGUCUCUGGGCAGUAACUGACGCUGAGGAGCGAAAGCGUGGGGAGCGAAC